ensembl:lncRNA
GAAGGAAGGAAGGAAGGAAGGAAGGAAAUGAAAAUCAGGUCUAUCUCUUAUGAGGACCAGAUUCUGCUAAAACUGACAGCACCAGAAGAAAAUCAUUAAUCACUUCACAGAAGCACACAAUGGCUGAUGUGGAGCACAUGUGGUCCAAUUUGUCUGCUCUUGCAGUGUCAGCAUUAGCAGGUUGCCCAGGACAAUGUCCAGUUGGAUUUCCAUUACCUCCAGAAAUGAGGACUCCAUAGCCUCUCUAGAAUCAAUGUUCCCAGAAGUAAUGCAGGCCAUAUAGCCAAACAUGACAUCUCUACAGCCGUUCUUACGUCUACUAUAACUCUGUGAAAGUACACAGCAUUUUUCCCUUUACAUUUUUUUUUUGAAAGAGGAUAAGUGGAAAGAUUCUCAGUGAUUCUGGAAGGAUGAGGACAGCUAAGAGUGAGGGAGCAGAGGCUGGGAGGAAUGCAAAUACUUCCUCAUUACUCUUUUGGGUAACUCAGCUUCUUGAUCUCUAUUAAUUCUUCACCCUGGACUGCACUCUCAAGUGCAAUCAGACUUCUGAUAUCAAUAUCCACAACAUCCAUGAACUGUUUCCCUGAACCUUAAGGCAAUAUGGAAAGAUACUGAGUUUUUCUAUCUGAUACCAGCAAAAGACUUAUCCCAAGUCACUAAGAAACCCAGUGAGGGGAGAAAGGAUAACUAGAACAGUUCUCUUGUGGUCUGAUAGGUAACUUCGGUGAACAUUCUUUUUCUCCUCCCCCCACUGACAUUUAUAGUAACUAGAUCACACCUACCAGAGCUGAUGCCACAAAUGUUACUGCUCCUUGGGCACUCUAGUGAAGGAGAAAGAGAGAGCAAUGCCAUGGCAAAGAUGAUUGGAAACACUAUGAGGAUGAGAGGCAAUGACAUUUAUUUUCACAGGUUCCCUGGAGAGUCACCAAAAAUCCUAUAGCCCUCAAAGUCUGACAGGUCCUUAUCUGCUCCCUCAGGAGUGGUUGUGAUGACAGCAUCAACAUCUUUUGAUAGGUGCCUGAACCCAAGCAUGUGAUGAAUAUAGUUAAUUAACACACUAAUAUCAGCCCACAGUAUUAUAG